rnacentral:rRNA from 1 species
UAAGGAAUAUUGCUCAAUGGGAGAAAUCCUGAAGCAGCAACGCCGCGUGGAGGAUGAAGGGUUUUUAACUUGUAAACUCCUGUAAAGAAGGAAAAAAUUUCCCCAUUAGAUGGGAAAUGAUGGUACUUCUGGAGUAAGCCCCGGCUAACUACGUGCCAAGCAGCCGCGGUAAUACGUAGGGGGCAAGCGUUGUCCGGAUUUACUGGGUGUAAAGGGUGCUCAGGCGGAUUUGUAAGUCAGAGGUGAAAUCUCACAGCUUAACUGUGAAACUGCCUUUGAUACUGCAAGCCUAGAGUAUGGAAGAGAGUGAUGGAAUAUCUGGUGUAGCAGUGAAAUGCGUAGAUAUCAGAUAGAACACCAAUGGCGAAGGCAGUCACUUGGUCCAUAACUGACGCUAAAGCACGAAAGCGUGGGUAGCAAACAGGAUUAGAUACCCUGGUAGUCCACGCCCUAAACGAUGAAUACUAGAUGUUGGCUUCGCAUGAAGUCAGUAUCUGAGCUAACGCAUUAAGUAUUCCACCUGGAAGUACGAUCGCAAGGUUGAAACUUAAA